rnacentral:lncRNA from 1 species
ACUUUUUAACAGUGAAGGGUUUGAUUCAGCUGAGAAUGAUGAUGUUAUAUUGACUUCAUUUUCUAGUCUUAAGAGAUUAGUUUUGGAAGCUGUUGCUUUUGGAUCAUUCUUGUGGGAAACAGAAGAUUACAUUAACAAUGUAUAUAAGCUUAAGGAUCAUUAAGGUAGUGACAAAACACAGGAUAAGUUGCAAUAUUUGUUGAGCUAAUUCCUCUUGUAUAUAUAGUGAGUUUUUGUUUUUAGCUUUUCAGUUUUACUUUGGAUUAUGUUUAUUUUGUAUAGUACACAUUUACCUUAAAUAGUAUAUAGUUUUAAUGCUUAGACUUUCAUUGAGUUUUUUUAGUAUGUAGUUUUUUUGCUUAGAGUUGAUAAUUCAUAGUGAUUUUGCAUA